rnacentral:misc_RNA from 1 species
AUGCCUACCCAUAAAUGGAGAAGGUAAAGAAAAGGUUUGGCCAAGAACCACCUCCAAAUUAAGAAGAUUGAACAAAACUUGACAGAAUGUUUUUCUUCAAAGUGAACUCGUCCGCUUUCGAUGGGCUCACCGACUUCUCAAGUAUGCGCUGGAUCCUCUCAAUCUCAGACUUGGCAUAAUCACUACCUUUCUCCAGACAUUUUUUAGCAGAUUUCACGUAGAUCUUUCCAUGCCUUGCAGCUGAUCCACUGAGCUUUCCAGCUUCUUCUUCUAUCUUGGCAAAAAUAUUCUUUUUCUCUUCAUUGCUAGCAGCUACGAACUCCUUCACCAACAACUCUAAACUAGCAACUAAGCCAGCAUUUACAGUAAGCUGUCCCUUCGCGUCACGAUUGGUCCCACUCUUUUCAUUAAUGAAACUAACAAAGUCAUCAACAUCUCUGCCACCAUCGUAGUCUUCACCAUUUUUG